AUUUUGACCGCCUCCGUCAACCAUUAACCUUGGCAUGGCUCUGCUCACUAGUACGAUCAAAUGUGAUUGUAUGACUUGCCAGUUGCCACAUACUAUAUUGUAUUUUUGAUCAACAAUGAAAUUUUCAGAGUUGCGCUUACAGUGUCUUGAUAUAUGCUUCUUGGACAAAUUUGCAAUCUCUUCUGAUUCUAAUAAGUUAUGUGAUAUCCAAUAUUCCCACUUAGCCAUACAUUUUCCGAAUUUCGAUAUACAAACAAAACAUGUCCUCCCAUAUAUGUCAGAUG